GAUGAACGCUGGCGGCGUGCCUAAUACAUGCAAGUCGAGCGAACGGACGAGAAGCUUGCUUCUCUGAUGUUAGCGGCGGACGGGUGAGUAACACGUGGAUAACCUACCUAUAAGACUGGGAUAACUUCGGGAAACCGGAGCUAAUACCGGAUAAUAUUUUGAACCGCAUGGUUCAAAAGUGAAAGACGGUCUUGCUGUCACUUAUAGAUGGAUCCGCGCUGCAUUAGCUAGUUGGUAAGGUAACGGCUUACCAAGGCAACGAUGCGUAGCCGACCUGAGAGGGUGAUCGGCCACACUGGAACUGAGACACGGUCCAGACUCCUACGGGAGGCAGCAGUAGGGAAUCUUCCGCAAUGGGCGAAAGCCUGACGGAGCCACGCCGCGUGAGUGAUGAAGGUCUUCGGAUCGUAAAGCUCUGUUAUUAGGGAAGAACAUAUGUGUAAGUAACUGUGCACAUCUUGACGGUACCUAAUCAGAAAGCCACGGCUAACUACGUG
rnacentral:rRNA from 1 species